AGGGCACCGGGCACCGGGGUGGGGGUGGGGACAGAUCAAGGGCGCCCUUCCUGCUCAGUCCCCGGCCGCCCCCCACCCCGUGCCCUCUCUGCCUGCAGCAGCUGCUGAAACCUGGAAAAUUGGGCACUCCAUUCUCUGAGAUGGGAGCACUGUCGCCUCAAUCCCCUAGCCCUCUCGGCCCGUUCCCUUGACGCUCCUACACAGGAACGCGGGACCUAGGCCGUGGGCUGCUGUGUGGGGAGUGAAGCACCUCUUAGCCCAGAAACACCGAGAACCAGGUGCCUGGAAGCCUAUGUUAUCAAGUGCUAUGCCAUUCCUUGGUAGGAAAUUUGCUCCCCAAAGAUUCCAUGUUCCUGUCUUCAAGUCCUCAAGCCUGGCAUUGGGAUGGGAGCACCCACAGUCUUGUCCUCAACAACCGAUUGUAUUCCUGGGGACAGCUCAACCCCUGGGGAGCACGUGGCCACCAGCUCUGCCGUCGUCCUCCUCCUCCUGAUACCGACCCUAGGAGUUCUCGUGCCCCAGUCUACCUAGACUCCCAGGAGCGUCCAGCUGGAAGGGACAGUGAUGCGGAGAUCAAAGCCCAGGCGCACCGGUGGGUCGCGAGCUCACUCCUCCAAGUACACUUGGCCAACCUCGGGGAGCCCGGCGGCAGCGGGAGGGGCGCGGGCACCUGGGGGAUGGGGGUGGGGAGCGGCCAGUCUGCUGGUCCACACCUGAAAACAGGGUUUCCCCUACCGGAUGCCUGCCGUCCCCCCUCUCCACUUGGCGGGGUCGCCUGCUAGGGUCGGGAAAGGAAGCACCCCGGGGCGGCCUCUCCACCGCCGCCCUCGGGGUUCGGUCCUCCCCCGCCAACUUCUGCCAGUCCGCGUGGAUUCCGAGCCCGGCUCCGGAAACCAGUCUGACCACUUCGCCCAUUUCCCAAGCCUCCCCGGGCGGCGGCCGGCCAGCUUCCAGGGUGCGGUGAGCCAGGCUCGGCCGCCGCCUCGGCCGCGCUGCGAUGAAUGGAUCUGCCCAGAAGGCCGGCGUCAAAGCGACGCUCCUGCCCGCGCGCCCCGGGCCUCCAGGCCGCUCCCCGCCCCGUGUCCCCCAUCGCGAAACGGACGAUUGGAUGCUCUGCUCCAGGGCUGGGGUCGCCUGUCCCCUGCCGACUUGGCGCAGAGCCGCCUUCUGCACCCGGCCCCGUGCCGCCCUGGGGUUGCUUACAGCCGGGCUGGGCCACCGAGCUGAGGCCGGAAUCGAAUGGCGGGCCGCGGAAAACCGCCAGGCCCGCAGGGGCGGCGGCGCGAGGUCCCAGAAAAGCGCCCGGGCAGCCCAAGGCCGGCCUCGAGGGGACGGGGGCGGGACAGGAGGGGACCAGCUGGCAUCGGUGACCGGCCUCAGCUGCCCGACUGCGGUGGGAGGGUGGGCAUGUGCCCCCGCAGCCACCCGCGCACGGGUUUCCAAGGCGCCAAGAGCAAUUCACCAGGUCGCUGCAAGAAAGCAACUGCUCCCCCACGUCCAGCCAGCCGCCCCGUCCAUGAGAACCACCUGGAGGGCAGGACCCAGUGCCCGGGUACCACCCGCGACGUGGCGACGGCUCUGGGAUGGCACAGGCUGGGAAGGAACCAAAUGGAUGUAAGGCCCUCGCCUGGGUUUGAAUCCCAGUUCUGGCCUUCAUUCCUCCAGGCCUCCA
rnacentral:lncRNA from 1 species